rnacentral:rRNA from 1 species
GACGAACGCUGGCGGCGUGCUUAACACAUGCGAGUCGAACGGAAAGGCCCUGCUUUUGUGGGGUGCUCGAGUGGCGAACGGGUGAGUAACACGUGAGUAACCUGCCCUUGACUUUGGGAUAACUUCAGGAAACUGGGGCUAAUACCGGAUAGGAGCUCCUGCUGCAUGGUGGGGGUUGGAAAGUUUCGGCGGUUGGGGAUGGACUCGCGGCUUAUCAGCUUGUUGGUGGGGUAGUGGCUUACCAAGGCUUUGACGGGUAGCCGGCCUGAGAGGGUGACCGGCGACAUUGGGACUGAGAGACGGCCCAGACUCCUACGGGAGGCAGCAGUGGGGAAUAUUGCACAAUGGGCGGAAGCCUGAUGCAGCAACGCCGCGUGCGGGAUGACGGCCUUCGGGUUGUAAACCGCUUUCGCCUGUGACGAAGCGUGAGUGACGGUAAUGGGUAAAGAAGCACCGGCUAACUACGUG